rnacentral:rRNA from 1 species
CAUGAAUGAACUUCUCGAAUCGCAUGGUCUUGUGAUGGACGAUGCUUCAUUCAAAUAUCUGCCCUAUCAACUUUUCGAUGGUAGGCAUAUGAGGCCUACCAUGGUUUCAAUCGGGUAACGGGGAAUAAGGGUUCGAUUCCGGAGAAGGAGCCUGAUUAAAUGGCUACCAUAUACCAAGGAAGGCAGCAGGCGCGCAAAUUACCCAAUCCCGACACGGGGAGGUAGUGACAAUAAAUAACAAUAUAGGGCUCUUUUGGGUCUUAUAAUUGGAAUGAGUACAAUUUAAAUCCCUUAACGAGGAACAAUUGGAGGGCAAGUCUGGUGCCAGCAGCCGCGGUAAUUCCAGCUCCAAUAGCGUAUAUUAAAGUUGUUGCAGUUAAAAAGCCCGUAGUUGAAUUUCAGACCUGGCUGGGUGGUCUGCUUAACAGCAUGUACUGUCUGGCUGAGUCUUACCUCUUGGUGAGCUGGUGUGCCCUUUAUUGGUGUGCAUCAGGG